UCCAUUGUAAACACAUGAGAUUGUCAGACAGUCAGCCAACAGGAGCAGAGACUGAAAUCCAGCCUGAGCUAUUGCUCUGAGCAUCAGUCCAGAAGAGGAAUACUUCUUUGUAAUUGUCUACCCAAAAGGGAGAUUCUUGGAUUUUAUGCAGAGAUGUCAUAUGAGGGUUGAUAAACUAUACGUCUUCAGAAGGCUAACCCAGGCUUUUUCACAUAGAAACUGAGUUCCAAAAACAGAUGAUCCAUACGCUGUAACUUGGAACUCAGCAAACCCUUUUCAACAUCAUGGCCUUUGAAGAUGCCAUUCGAUUGUUCGAUGAUGGAUAGGGGAAAGAUAUGUGUGAACAGACACGGGGGGAAAAAAAGUUUAUUUUUCCAACCCCAUUUGGACUUCAGAGCCAAAAACUACGUUUUAACUUGUGAGGG
rnacentral:lncRNA from 1 species